rnacentral:rRNA from 1 species
ACUCAAAUGAAUAGACGGGGGCCCGCACAAGCAGCGGAGCGUGUGGUUUAAUUCGAGGCUACACGAAGAACCUUACCUGGGUUUGACAUUGCGGUGGUAGGGAACCGAAAGGGGACCGACCUUCGGGAGCCGUGACAGGUGCUGCAUGGCUGUCGUCAGCUCGUGUCGUGAGAUGUUCGGUUAAGUCCGAAAACGAGCGCAACCCUCGGGUCUAGUUACAGGUGUCUAGACCGACUGCCCGUGAGAAACGGGAGGAAGGUGGGGAUGACGUCAAGUCAUCAUGGCCUUUAUAUCCAGGGCUACACACACGCUACAAUGGACGGUACAACCGGUUGCCAAGCCGCGAGGCGGAGCCAAUCCCAAAAAGCCGUUCGUAGUUCGGAUUGUAGGCUGCAACCCGCCUACAUGAAGCCGGAGUUGCUAGUAACCGCCGGUCAGCCAUACGGCGGUGAAUACGUUCCCGGGCCUUGCACACACCGCCCGU